AUUGAAUGCUGGCGGCAGGCUUAACACAUGCAAGUCGAGCGGGGUGAUGGUGCUUGCACUAUCACUUAGCGGCGGACGGGUGAGUAAUGCUUAGGAAUCUGCCUAUUAGUGGGGGACAACAUCUCGAAAGGGAUGCUAAUACCGCAUACGUCCUACGGGAGAAAGCAGGGGAUCACUUGUGACCUUGCGCUAAUAGAUGAGCCUAAGUCGGAUUAGCUAGUGGGUGGGGUAAAGGCCUACCAAGGCGACGAUCUGUAGCGGGUCUGAGAGGAGGAUCCGCCACACUGGGACUGAGACACGGCCCAGACUCCUACGGGAGGCAGCAGUGGGGAAUAUUGGACAAUGGGGGGAACCCUGAUCCAGCCAUGCCGCGUGUGUGAAGAAGGCCUUAUGGUUGUAAAGCACUUUAAGCGAGGAGGAGGCUCUUUUGGUUAAUACCCAAGAUGAGUGGACGUUACUCGCAGAAUAAGCACCGGCUAACUCUGUGCCAGCCGCCACCGUAA
rnacentral:rRNA from 1 species